CAGAGGGUGCGAGCGUUGUCCGGAAUCACUGGGCGUAAAGGGCGCGUAGGUGGCCCGACAAGUCAAUGGUGAAAGUUCGACGCUCAACGUCGAAUCGGCCAUCGAUACUGUUGGGCUGGAGCACUGUAGAGGCUCAUGGAAUUCCGGGUGUAGCGGUGGAAUGCGUAGAGAUCCGGAAGAACACCGGUGGCGAAGGCGGUGAGCUGGGCAGUUGCUGACACUGAGGCGCGACAGCGUGGGGAGCAAACAGGAUUAGAUACCCUGGUAGUCCACGCCGUAAACGAUGGGCACUAGAUGCUUGGGGGAGCGACCCCCUGAGUGUCGACGCUAACGCAUUAAGUGCCCCGCCUGGGGAGUACGGCCGCAAGGCUG
rnacentral:rRNA from 1 species